AGAAUUGAUCUGGUCAGAACGAACGCUGGCGGCGCGUUUAAGCAUGCAAGUCGAGCGGCAAGGGCCUUCGGGCCCCUAGAGCGGCGGACGGGUGAGUAACACGUGGACAAUCUGCCCCCCGGCCCGGGAUAGCCCAGGGAAACCUGGAUUAAUACCGGAUGAGACGGGACCCGCGAUGGCGGGAUCCGGGAAAGGCGCUGCGGCGCCGCCGGGGGAUGAGUCUGCGUCCCAUUAGCUAGACGGCGGGGUAACGGCCCACCGUGGCGACGAUGGGUAGCCGGCCUGAGAGGGUGGACGGCCACAUUGGAACUGAGACACGGUCCAGACUCCUACGGGAGGCAGCAGCUAAGAAUCUUCCGCAAUGGGCGAAAGCCUGACGGAAGCGACGCCGCGUGAACGAAGAAGGCCGUGAGGUUGUAAAGUUCUUUUCGGGAGGGGGAACAACCGUGGCAGGGAAUGGCCGCGGGAUGACGUGAAUCCCGGAAUAAGCCCCGGCUAACUACGUGCCAGCCGCCGC
rnacentral:rRNA from 1 species